rnacentral:rRNA from 1 species
AGAGUUUGAUCAUGGCUCAGAACGAACGCUGGCGGCAUGCCUAACACAUGCAAGUCGAACGAGACCUUCGGGUCUAGUGGCGCACGGGUGCGUAACGCGUGGGAAUCUGCCCUUUGCUUCGGAAUAACAGUUAGAAAUGACUGCUAAUACCGGAUGAUGUCUUCGGACCAAAGAUUUAUCGGCAAAGGAUGAGCCCGCGUAGGAUUAGGUAGUUGGUGGGGUAAAGGCCUACCAAGCCGACGAUCCUUAGCUGGUCUGAGAGGAUGAUCAGCCACACUGGGACUGAGACACGGCCCAGACUCCUACGGGAGGCAGCAGUGGGGAAUAUUGGACAAUGGGCGAAAGCCUGAUCCAGCAAUGCCGCGUGAGUGAUGAAGGCCUUCGGGUCGUAAAGCUCUUUUACCAGGGAUGAUAAUGACAGUACCUGGAGAAUAAGCUCCGGCUAACUCCGUG